AUCUAAAUUGUUACAAAUGGGACAGUAUAUGUGCCAUUCCAGAUACCUAAUCACAGCUCAAUCGAUGCUGGUGUCUUUUUCCUUUUUCCUUCUGCAGAAAACAUGCUUUACAUAGGAUCUCUGAACUUAAAGAAUGGGAAGAAGAAAAAUCAUGUUUCCAGCUUGGGCUGCUGUUUCAUCUGUUGGACUUGCUUAAAGCGUAUGGGUUUGUUUACCCUUCCUGCAGGCAUCCAACCUGGCCUUUUAUUCCUGCUCAAGUAGGACAUGCAGCCUGCUGGGGACCCGUGGCUCAAAUCCUCCAACUGCAGGACUGCCGGCCCUGGGACUCAUGAAUAAUGGAAGUGCAGUAACCACUCCUUACAGCCCAGACGACUUUCCAGGAGCAGGCUGUACCCCGAAAGUAAACAAGGAACAAGGGGCAAGGAGACAGAGAGAGAUGGGGAAAUAUCCUCACCAACAGCCCUGCUGCAGUGAAAACUGGAGGAUCCCUGAAUGGAAAGGAAUGCUAUGCACACUUUUUGGAUACAGGAAGUGAGAUUCAGAGGGGUUAAACAGCUUUCCUAAAGCCACACAGCGAGAGAGUCGAUCUGAACUGAAGAUUGUUUGACAUCAAAGCUCAUUUCUUUCCCUAAAUGUCAGCAUUCUUUCCUGACUUAUUAAUUUGAUUUCUGUCCUCCCCUCAUGGAAGUUAAUUAAAGGAAUGCGAGAACCUUUUAGAAAAUCU
rnacentral:lncRNA from 1 species